GGCGAAGUAGCUCAGUUGGUUAGAGUACCGGCCUGUCACGCCGGGGGUCGCGGGUUCGAGCCCCGUCUUCGUCGCCA
rnacentral:tRNA from 2 species